rnacentral:rRNA from 1 species
AGAUAAACGGGGCUAAAACUUACUACCGAAGCUUAGGAUACAGAAAUGUAUGGUAGAGGAGCAUCGUAUGCGGGGUGAAGCAGAGCCGGAAGGCCAUGUGGACUGCAUAGGAGAGAGAAUGUUGGCAUGAGUAGCGCAAGGCAGGUGAGAAUCCUGCCCGCCGAAAAUCUAAGGUUUCCUGAGGAAGGUUCGUCCGCUCAGGGUUAGUCGGGGCCUAAGCCGAGGGCGAAAGCCGUAGGCGAUGGAUAACAGGCAGAGAUUCCUGUACCACCGGAGGUCGUUAAGAGUGAAGUGGGGACACAGAAGGAUAGACUGAGCACGCCGCUGGUAGAGCGUGUCCAAGCGUCGAGGUAGGCACUGUAGGCAAAUCCGCAGAGUCAAUACUGAGGCGUGACGGGGAGGCAAAAGAGCCGGAAGCAGUCGAUUUCACGCUGUCAAGAAAAGCCGCUAGCCAGACCCGAGGUGCCCGUACCGCAAACCGACACAGGUAGAUGAGGAGAGAAUCCUAAGGCGAGCGAGAGAACCAUUGUUAAGGAACUCGGCAAAAUGACCCCGUAACUUCGGGAGAAGGGGUGCCUGCUUCGGCAGGCCGCAGUGAAAAGGCCCAGGCAACUGUUUACCAAAAACACAGGUCUCUGCCAAAGCGAAAGCUGACGUAUAGGGGCUGACGCCUGCCCGGUGCUGGAAGGUUAAGGGGAAGUGUCAUUCGCAAGAAGAAGCACAGAACUUAAGCCCCAGUAAACGGCGGCCGUAACUAUAACGGUCCUAAGGUAGCGAAAUUCCUUGUCGGGUAAGUUCCGACCCGCACGAAAGGCGUAAUGAUCUGGGCACUGUCUCAACAAUGGACUCGGUGAAAUUGUAGUACCGGUAAAGAUGCCGGUUACCCGCAGCAGGACGGAAAGACCCCGUGGAGCUUUACUGUAGCUUGAUAUUGAGUUUCGGCGUUGCAUGUACAGGAUAGGUGGGAGACAGAGAAUCCAGUACGCCAGUAUUGGAGGAGUCACCGUUGGGAUACCACCCUUGUAACGUUGGGAUUCUAACCUUGCGCCGUGACCCGGCGUGGGGACAGUGUCAGGCGGGCAGUUUGACUGGGGCGGUCGCCU